rnacentral:rRNA from 1 species
UGAGGAAUAUUGCGCAAUGGGGGCAACCCUGACGCAGCAACGCCGCGUGAGUGAGGAAGGUUUUCGGACCGUAAAGCUCUGUCGAGCGGGAAGAAAUGCAUGCUGGCUAAUAUCCAGUAUGUUUGACGGUACCGCUAAAGGAAGCACCGGCUAACUCCGUGCCAGCAGCCGCGGUAAUACGGGGGGUGCUAGCGUUGUUCGGAAUCAUUGGGCGUAAAGAGCGUGUAGGCGGCUGGAUAAGUCAGAUGUGAAAGCCCUGGGCUUAACCCAGGAAGUGCAUUUGAAACUGUUCAGCUGGAGUAAGGGAGAGGAAAGUGGAAUUCCUGGUGUAGAGGUGAAAUUCGUAGAUAUCAGGAGGAACACCGGUGGCGAAGGCGACUUUCUGGCCCUAUACUGACGCUGAGACGCGAGAGCGUGGGUAGCAAACA